CACAAAUGGCGCCCGAACAGGGACCGAAGACUGACUUCAUCCAGGGCUGUAGAGGCAGCGGUUAGCUGAACUGGUGGCGGAGCCCGGCUGAACAAAGAGCUGCUGAAAGGAAGCAGAAGGGGAGCCGCUGAAAGGAAUCGGCAUUGCGUGCAACAGGUUACCUACCGCUGGACGGAGGUGCCAUGGGUGUCCCCACAGCAAUGAUGUUGGAGUCUGGAGUUGGUGCGGCACAGGCAAUGAAGGCGAAUGUGGUGACCGAAGGAAGAUCAGAGAGGAUGUGGCUGCCAUUGAGGAUGCCUCUUGAGGACCAAUGGUGAUGCACAGCACUGCAAAAGCUAAG